rnacentral:rRNA from 1 species
AUUGAACGCUGGCGGCAGGCCUAACACAUGCAAGUCGAACGGUAACAGGGAUCAGCUUGCUGAUUCGCUGACGAGUGGCGGACGGGUGAGUAAUGUCUGGGAAACUGCCUGAUGGAGGGGGAUAACUACUGGAAACGGUAGCUAAUACCGCAUAACGUCGCAAGACCAAAGAGGGGGACCUUCGGGCCUCCUGCCAUCGGAUGUGCCCAGAUGGGAUUAGCUAGUAGGUGGGGUAACGGCUCACCUAGGCGACGAUCCCUAGCUGGUCUGAGAGGAUGACCAGCCGCACUGGAACUGAGACACGGUCCAGACUCCUACGGGAGGCAGCAGUGGGGAAUAUUGCACAAUGGGCGCAAGCCUGAUGCAGCCAUGCCGCGUGUAUGAAGAAGGCCUUCGGGUUGUAAAGUACUUUCAGCGGGGAGGAAGGGAGUAAAGUUAAUACCUUUGCUCAUUGACGUUACCCGCAGAAGAAGCACCGGCUAACUCCGUG